rnacentral:rRNA from 1 species
AGGACGAACGCUGGCGGCGUGCUUAACACAUGCAAGUCGAGCGGAAAGGCCUUUCGGGGUACUCGAGCGGCGAACGGGUGAGUAACACGUGAGUAACCUGCCCUUCACUUUGGGAUAACCCUCGGAAACGGGGGCUAAUACCGGAUAUGACCUUCCAGGGCAUCUUGGUGGGUGGAAAGUUUUUCGGUGGGGGAUGGGCUCGCGGCCUAUCAGCUUGUUGGUGGGGUAAUGGCCUACCAAGGCGACGACGGGUAGCCGGCCUGAGAGGGCGACCGGCCACACUGGGACUGAGACACGGCCCAGACUCCUACGGGAGGCAGCAGUGGGGAAUAUUGCACAAUGGGCGGAAGCCUGAUGCAGCGACGCCGCGUGAGGGAUGACGGCCUUCGGGUUGUAAACCUCUUUCAGCAGGGACGAAGCGAAAGUGACGGUACCUGCAGAGAGCGCGCCACUACGUGCCAGCGCCGC